rnacentral:rRNA from 1 species
UACGGGGGGAGCAAGCGUUGUUCGGAUUUACUGGGCGUAAAGGGCGCGUAGGCGGUCAGCACAAGUCAGUUGUGAAAUCUCCGGGCUUAACUCGGAAAGGUCAACUGAUACUGUGCGACUAGAGUGCGGAAGGGGCAACUGGAAUUCUUGGUGUAGCGGUGAAAUGCGUAGAUAUCGGUCGGAACACCAGUGGCGAAGGCGGUCUCCUGGGGCAUUCUUGACGCUGAGGCGCGAAAGCUGGGGGAGCGAACGGG